CCUACGUGUGGCUGCAGUGGGGAAUAUUGCACAAUGGGGGAAACCCUGAUGCAGCGACGCCGCGUGGGUGACGAAGUAUUUCGGUAUGUAAAGCCCUAUCAGCAGGGAAGAAGCUGACAGUACCUGACCAAGAAGCCCCGGCUAACUACGUGCCAGCAGCCGCGGUAAUACGUAGGGGGCAAGCGUUAUCCGGAUUUACUGGGUGUAAAGGGAGCGUAGGUGGCAUGGCAAGCCAGAAGUGAAAACCCGGGGGUUAACCCCGCGGAUUGCUUUUGGACCUGUCAGGCUGGAGUGCAGGAGGGGCAGGCGGAAUUCCUGGUGUAGCGGUGAAAUGCGUAGAUAUCAGGAGGAACACCGGUGGCGAAGGCGGCCUGCUGGACUGUAACUGACACUGAGGCUCGAAAGCGUGGGGAGCAAACAGGAUUAGAUACCCCUGUAGUC
rnacentral:rRNA from 1 species